CCCACCUCCCCCGGGCCACCCCCGCCUGGGACGUUCGCGGUCCGAGGGGCGCCCGGCCCCGCUCACCUUCUCCCGAGGGCCAGCCGCAGCCCGGCCACUGCUCUGCUCCUGCCUGGGCUCGCACCGGCCCCGCCGCGGCCCCUCCCCCGGCAGCCCCCCCCUUUCCAGGGAGGGGCCGUCGCCAUCAGCCUCACUGCCCGCACCUGGGGCUCCUCCAGCCCCGGCCCGCAGCUGUGGGACCGAAAGCCGCAAUCAAACUCCUGAACACCCAUGGGAAGUUAAGAAGCAGGCGCUUCGUUUAUGGAAUGAAAGACUUGGCAAUUGCCAGGUAUCUUCUUUUCGAUUUACCCAGGUCCACCAUCGAGGCCACAAGGGAGAUUUCUUCCAGAGAGAGGAUAGAGUUAUUAAGUCUGAAGUCCAUUAUUUGCUUUUGUCCUUCGUGAAAAGAUGGUCCUGACUCUGGGUGGAUCUAACGAGGAUCCUGGAACUCCAGUAAAUUCUAAACAUCGUUUUAGAUUUUAAAUAGGAUCCCAAGCUCCUUUUUGCACUUGUCUCUACGGUUUUGGCAACUGACAGCCCCAAGGGGUGUUUGUACAAGUUUCUCCCUGAGGGCGAUAAAUUAAUUCUUUUGUCCGUGAGGUGGAUGGUUUGGUAAUGUUAUUAUUCAAAAUGCUAUAAUUCCUUCUUUCAAAUUUAAAAAAAUAAUUGCCUUUUAAAUCCAUCCAGUUUAAUUUGCUAAAAUGAUUCUCAUCGUUCUACGUCUUUUCUCAAGUUUUGGUUAAAUUCAAUGUCAGUAUUCUCCACGGAACUAGAUUUUCAUCUGACUUUGGAAUCGGAAGGCAGGCUGUUAUCGAGGUUAAAUUUUGUGUCUUUACAAAACUUUGAAUCAAUUACAAAACUAGAUUUUAUUUUUUUUAAUCAAAAU